UACGUAGGUGACAAGCGUUGUCCGGAAUCAUUGGGCGUAAAGAGCGUGUAGGCGGUUCGGUAAGUCCGCUGUGAAAGUCCAGGGCUCAACCCUGGAAUGCCGGUGGAUACUGUCGGGCUAGAGUCCGGAAGAGGCGAGUGGAAUUCCUGGUGUAGCGGUGAAAUGCGCAGAUAUCAGGAGGAACACCAAUGGCGAAGGCAGCUUGCUGGGACGGUACUGACGCUGAGGAGCGAAAGCGUGGGGAGCGAACAGG
rnacentral:rRNA from 1 species